rnacentral:rRNA from 1 species
UAGGGAAUCUUCCGCAAUGGACGAAAGUCUGACGGAGCAACGCCGCGUGAGCGAAGAAGGCCUUCGGGUCGUAAAGCUCUGUUGUUAGGGAAGAACAAGUAGCGCAGUAACUGGCGUUACUGUGACGGUACCUAACGAGAAAGCCACGGCUAACUACGUGCCAGCAGCCGCGGUAAUACGUAGGUGGCAAGCGUUGUCCGGAAUUAUUGGGCGUAAAGCGCGCGCAGGCGGUUCCUUAAGUCUGAUGUGAAAGCCCACGGCUCAACCGUGGAGGGUCAUUGGAAACUGGGGGACUUGAGUGCAGAAGAGGAGAGCGGAAUUCCACGUGUAGCGGUGAAAUGCGUAGAGAUGUGGAGGAACACCAGUGGCGAAGGCGGCUCUCUGGUCUGUAACUGACGCUGAGGCGCGAAAGCGUGGGGAGCAAACAGGAUUAGAUACCCUGGUAGUCCACGCCGUAAACGAUGAGUGCUAAGUGUUAGAGGGUAUCCACCCUUUAGUGCUGUAGCUAACGCAUUAAGCACUCCGCCUGGGGAGA